rnacentral:rRNA from 1 species
CUACGGGCGGCAGCAGUGGGGAAUAUUGGACAAUGGGGGAAACCCUGAUCCAGCAAUGCCGCGUGUGUGAAGAAGGCCUGCGGGUUGUAAAGCACUUUCGGUUGGGAGGACUGCUUCUAGCACUAAUAUUGUUGGAAGUUGACGUUACCUUCAGAAGAAGCACCGGCUAACUCCGUGCCAGCAGCCGCGGUAAUACGGAGGGUGUAAGCGUUAAUCGGAAUUACUGGGCGUAAAGCGCGCGUAGGCGGCUAGGUCAGUCGGGUGUGAAAGCCCCGGGCUUAACCUGGGAACUGCAUCCGAUACUGUCUAGCUUGAGUACAGGAGAGGAGAGUGGAAUUCCACAUGUAGCGGUGAAAUGCGUAGAUAUGUGGAGGAACACCAAUGGCGAAGGCAGCUCUCUGGCCUGAUACUGACGCUGAGGUGCGAAAGCGUGGGGAGCAAACAGGAUUAGAUACCCGCGUAGUC